ensembl:lncRNA
GGGACGUGGGGGCUUCUUCAUCAAAGUGUCUCUGGGAAACGCUGCUGCUUCCGUCGUGGAUGGAAACCGGAGGAGGGCGCGACCUCAAAGAAGGUCGUUCCUGUACCGGCUGAUGCUCAUUCUGGAACGUGAGAGGGAGAUCUGAGAGCAGCCCCGACGAAGAGAAGCGGCUGGCAAACACGGAUGGGAGGAUUAUCUCGUAUUCAUGAAUGUAUUUCUGCACGCAGCAAAGACGGUGAACAUUCCAGAAGAAGAGCUUUGUAUCUCUUAAAUAUAAUAUUACUAAUACCUCCUUUCACUUUCAUCUCACUUAUUACCACCACGAAUACUUACGCCUGGCACUUUACAUAAAACUCAUCAUACACUUCUUACCUAAGUGCUGCUAUUCUUGGUCCCCAUCACUGUUCAUAUUGCACAACUAUUUCUUACUGUACAUGUCUAUUUAUUCACGUAUUACACUUUACAUAUGCACAUACUCUGCACUUGUUGCUAUUUUGCACUUCUGGUUGGACUUCUUAGCAGACUGCUCCUCCAUCUCUCACUGAAACAAAUAGUUAUUGAUUUAUUCAGUACACAAAGAAAGUGUAGACUGAAUAUCGUCUUCCUUCCAUCACGCUGUUUUCAAAUGUAGUUUUGUUAAUUGUACGACUACUUUUAUAAGUUGGGCUCUGUGAUUGAUGUUCACACCUUUAACUCCAGUUUGGAAAUAAAGUCUAUUUAUAUGAUAAACUAUGAACGAAUGAUGGACGCAGUCAUGGCUUUGUGCCGUUAGCUUACAUCUGCAUUGGCACUCCUCAAGAACGCAGUCACAAGUCACUGUUUUAUUACGCUUUCCGAACUGUCAGACUUUUAUUUUGAAGGCCGUUAUUCUGACAGAACCAGUUUCUCGUUGCAGAGUCGUCAAAUGACUUUUAUUCUUCAUGACCCGUCUCACUCUGAACGUCCUGUGUGUCCUUACUGGUCCUUCUCUCCGUGAGACGAGUAAAUCACACCCAAAGGGCUCAACACGUGCACACACACGCAAACACGUGCACACAC